CUAACCCUACGGGACGCAGCAGUAGGGAAUCUUCCACAAUGGGCGAAAGCCUGAUGGAGCAACGCGGCGUGGGUGAAGAAGGUCUUCGGAUCGUAAAACCCUGUUGUUAGAGAAGAAAGUGCGUGAGAGAAACUGUUCACGUUUCGACGGUAUCUAACCAGAAAGCCACGGCUAACUACGUGCCAGCAGCCGCGGUAAUACGUAGGUGGCAAGCGUUAUCCGGAUUUAUUGGGCGUAAAGAGAACGCAGGUGGUCUUUUAAGUCUGAUGUGAAAGCCUUCGGUUUAACCGUAG
rnacentral:rRNA from 1 species